rnacentral:rRNA from 1 species
AUUGAACGCUGGCGGCAUGCCUUACACAUGCAAGUCGAACGGCAGCACGGGGCAACCUGGUGGCGAGUGGCGAACGGGUGAGUAAUGCAUCGGAACGUACCUUUCAGUGGGGGAUAACGUAGCGAAAGUUACGCUAAUACCGCAUAUUCUGUGAGCAGGAAAGCAGGGGAUCGCAAGACCUUGCGCUGAUUGAGCGGCCGAUGUCAGAUUAGCUAGUUGGUGAGGUAAAGGCUCACCAAGGCGACGAUCUGUAGCGGGUCUGAUAGGAUGAUCCGCCACACUGGAACUGAGACACGGUCCAGACUCCUACGGGAGGCAGCAGUGGGGAAUUUUGGACAAUGGGGGCAACCCUGAUCCAGCCAUGCCGCGUGAGUGAAGAAGGCCUUCGGGUUGUAAAGCUCUUUCGGCCGGGAAGAAAUCGCACGGGCUAAUACCCUGUGUGGAUAACGGUACCGGAAUAAGAAGCACCGGCUAACUACGUGCCAGCAGCCGCAGUAACAC